GCCAAGGGCAGUGGUGUGCACCUGUAGUUCCAGCUACUUAGGAGGCUGAGGUAGGAGGAUCACUUGAGCUCAGGAGCUCUGAGCUGUAGCGCACUGUGCCAAUUGGGUGUCUGCACUAAAUUUAGCAUCAAUAUGGUGACCUCCCAGGAGUCAGGGACCACCAGGUUGCCUGAGGGAGGUAUGAACCUACCCAGGUCAGAACUGGAGCAGAUCAAGACUCUCAUGCUGAUCAGUAGUGGGAUCUCACCUGUGAAUAGCCACUGCAUUCCAGCCUGACCAACACAGACCCCAUCUCA
rnacentral:SRP_RNA from 1 species